rnacentral:pre_miRNA from 1 species
AGUGGAAUAGCUGGGUCAAACGGUGGUUCCAUUCCCAGAUUUCCAAGGAAACUCCAUACUGUUUUCCAAAUUGGCUGCACCAAUUUGCAGUCCCACCAGCAAU